ensembl:lncRNA
CUACCAGGUGGUCGCUUGGUGUCCUCCGUCGCAAUUAUUGCAUAAUCUCCAGCUGCAGUAUUUUUCCGUUUGCUUCUGAUGAGAAGCCAACUGCCACCACUGAUAGAUUAUCGAAUAGAUAUGUGAAAAACACCUUGAGGAUUGAUUCUAAACAACGUUUGCUAUGUUUCUGUCGAUAUUAUGGAGCUAAUUUGGAAAAAAGUUUGGCGUUGUAAGUGACUGCAUUUUCCGGUCUUUUUCUUAGCCAAACGUGAUGAACAAAACGGAGCUAUUUCGUCUACACAAAUAAUAUGUUUGGAAAAAAUGAACAUUUGCUAUCUAACUAAGAGUCUCGUCAUUGAAAACAUACAAAGUUCUUCAAAGGAGGGGUGCGUCACUUGCGUGGGUUGAGUCACUGAUGUGGUCUUCCUGUCUAGGUUGGCGCCCCCCUUGGGUUGUGCCGUGGCGGAGAUCUUUGUGGGCUAUACUCGGCCUUGUCUCAGGAUGGACCUGAGCCCUAGGACCAUGCCUCAGGACUACCUGGCAUGAUGACUCCUUGCUGUCCCCAGUCCACCUGGCCGUGCUGCUGCUCCAGUUUCGACUGUUCUGCCUGCGGCUAUGGAAUACUGACCUGUUCACCGGACGUGCUACCUGUCCCAGACCUGCUGUUUUCAACUCUCUAGAGACAGCAGGAGUGGUAGAGAUACUCUUAAUGAUCGGCUAUGAAAAGCCAACUGACAUUUACUGCUGAGGUGCUGACUUGCUGCACCCUGUACAAGUACUGUGAUUAUUAUUAUUUGACCAUGCUGGUCAGUUAUGAACAUUUGAACAUCUUGGCCAUGUUCUGUUAUAAUCUCCACCCGGCACAUCCAGAAGAGGACUGGCCACCCCUCAUAGCCUGGUUCCUCUCUAGGUUUCUUCCUAGGGUUUGGCCUUUCUAGGGAGUUUUUCCUAGCCACCGUGCUUCUACACCUGCAUUGCUUGCUGUUUGGGGUUUUACACUGGGUUUCUGUACAGCACUUUGAGAUAUCAGCUGAUGUACGAAGGGCUAUAUAAAUACAUUUGAUUUGAUGAUCAAUGAUAUAAAGAAUGAAAAACUUGAGACUUUAAAUUAAAUUAUGGGCAGAAAGACAUAUUCAACUCUAUCUUUCGUAGAAUCAGAUGGCUUAUUCAUCACAAAACCAUUUGAUGUUGCCAAUUAUUUGAAUGAUUAUUUAAUUGGCAGAGUGGGCAAGCUUAGGCAGGAAAUGCCCACGACAAACAGUGAGCAAUUAUAUUCAUGCAUAAAAAACUAAUAAUGAAAGGAAGGCAGUGCAAGUUUUAAUUUUGUAAAGUUAGUGUGGGAGAGGUGGAAAAAUUAUUGUUAACGAUCAAUAAUGACAAACCUGGCAUUGACAACUUAGAUGGAAAGCUACUGAGGAUGGUAGAUGACUCUAUAGCCACUCCUAUCUGUCAUAUUUUUGAUCUGAGCCUAGAGGAAAAUUUUAGUCCUCAGGCCUGGAGGGAAGCCAAAGUAAUUCCGCUACCCAAGAGUGGUAAAGUGGCCUUUAAAAUUGUGUUUGACCAAAUACAAUGUUAUUUCUCUGUAAAGAAAUUAACAACAUACUUUCAGCAUGCUUAUAGAGAAGGGCACUUAACAUGUACUGCACUGACACAAAUGACUGGUGAUUGGUUGAAAGAAAUUGAUAAGAAGAAGAUUGUGGGUGCUGUACUGUUAGAUUUCAGUGCAGCCUUUGAUAUUAUUGACCAUAAAACCUGUUGUUGAAAAAACUUAAGUGCUAUGGCUUUUCAACCUCAGCUCUGAAUCCACGAUAUGGCAAUCUAAUAGAACUCAAAGGGUUUUCUUUAAUGGAAGCAUCUCUAAAGUCAAACAUGUAAGUGUGGUGUACCGCAGGGCAGCUCUCCAGGCCCUCUCUUCUUUUCUAUUUUUACCACUGACCUGCCACUGGCAUUAAACAAAGCAUGUGUGUCCAUGUAUGCUGAUCAUUCAAUAAUAUGGACACACAUCAGCAACCACAGCUAAAGAAGUCACUGAAACCCUUAACAAAGAGUUGCGGUCUGUUUUGGAAUGG